rnacentral:rRNA from 1 species
UACGGAGGAUGCGAGCGUUAUCCGGAUUUAUUGGGUUUAAAGGGUGCGUAGGCGGCCGAGUAAGUCAGCGGUGAAAUUUUGCGAGCUUAACUGCAACAGUGCCGUUGAUACUGCAUGGCUAGGAUUUGGUUGCUGUGGGUGGAAUGUGUGGUGUAGCGGUGAAAUGCUUAGAUAUCACACAGAAUAUCAAUUGCGAAGGCAGCUCACAAAGCCAAGAUUGACGCUGAGGCACGAAAGUGUGGGGAU